rnacentral:rRNA from 1 species
ACUCCUACGGGAGGCAGCAGUGGGGAAUAUUGCACAAUGGGCGCAAGCCUGAUGCAGCCAUGCCGCGUGUAUGAAGAAGGCCUUCGGGUUGUAAAGUACUUUCAGCGGGGAGGAAGGUGUUGUGGUUAAUAACCACAGCAAUUGACGUACCCGC